rnacentral:rRNA from 1 species
CGGGACGGGUGAGUAAUGUCUGGGAAACUGCCCGAUGGAGGGGGAUAACUACUGGAAACGGUGGCUAAUACCGCAUAACGUCGCAAGACCAAAGAGGGGGACCUUAGGGCCUCUUGCCAUCGGAUGUGCCCAGAUGGGAUUAGCUAGUAGGUGGGGUAAUGGCUCACCUAGGCGACGAUCCCUAGCUGGUCUGAGAGGAUGACCAGCCACACUGGAACUGAGACACGGUCCAG